rnacentral:lncRNA from 1 species
AAUGACUAGUAGGUCCGUGGCCGGAAGCAGAGUUUCCUUCUCGCGGUGGUGGUCAGUGGCCAUCGGCUUCAAACUUUCUCAAACGAUCUCUUUCUCUUUCUGUUUUUUUCUUUUUUUUUUUAGAUAGCUAUGGAAAUACUGCAGCGAGAACGCCAAGGAUCGCCACUCUGAUACCAAAUGAUAAGAUCCUAAAGUCUUAUCGUCGCUCUAAUACCAAAUGGUAAGACCCUAAAAUCUUAUCGUCGCUCUGAUAUCAAAU